GACGUAGGGCGCGAGCGUUGUCCGGAUUUAUUGGGCGUAAAGAGCUCGUAGGCGGCUUGUCGCGUCGUCCGUGAAAACCUGCGGCUCAACUGCAGGCUGGCGGUCGAUACGGGCAGGCUGGAGUUCGGUAGGGGAGACUGGAAUUCCUGGUGUAGCGGUGAAAUGCGCAGAUAUCAGGAGGAACACCGGUGGCGAAGGCGGGUCUCU
rnacentral:rRNA from 1 species